CCUACGGGUGGCAGCAGUGAGGAAUAUUGCUCAAUGGCCGGAAGGCUGAACCAGCCAAGCCGCGUGAAUGACGAAGGUGCCAAGCAUUGUAAACUUCUUUUGUCAAGGGACAAAAUCAGGCUCGAGAGCCUGACCGCGGGUACUUGAAGCAAAAGCAUCGGCUAACUCCGUGCCAGCAGCCGCGGUACUAUGGUGGAGGCGAGCGUUAUCCGGAUUUAGUGGGUGGAAGGGGAGCGUAGACGGUGCAGCAAGUCUGAUGUGAAAGGUCGGGGCCCAACCCCGGGACUGCAUUGGAAAAUGGUGAACUGGAGUACAGGAGAGGUAAGCGGAAUGCCUAGUGUAGCGGUGAAAUGCGUAGAUAGGAGGAGGAAGACCAGUGGAGAAGGCGGCUUACUGGACUGUAACUGACGUUGAGGCGCGAAAGCGUGGGGAGCAAACAGGAUUAGAUACCCGAGUAGUC
rnacentral:rRNA from 1 species